GAUGAACGCUGGCGGCGUGCCUAAUACAUGCAAGUCGUACGGAAAGGCCCUUCGGGGUACUCGAGUGGCGGACGGCUGAGUAACGCGUGGGAACGUGCCCCAAAGUGAGGGAUAACGCACCGAAAGGUGUGCUAAUACCGCAUAUGGUCUUCGGAUUAAAGCUUCGGCGCUUUGGGAGCGGCCCGCGUACGACUAGAUAGUUGGUGAGGUAAUGGCUCACCAAGUCGACGAUCGUUAGCUGGUCUGAGAGGAUGAUCAGCCAGACUGGGACUGAGACACGGCCCAGACUCCUACGGGAGGCAGCAGGAAGGAAUCUUCCACAAUGGGGGCAACCCUGAUGGAGCAACGCCGCGUGCAGGAUGAAGGUUUUCGGAUCGUAAACUGCUUUUAUAAGUGAAGAAUAUGACGGUAACUUAUGAACAAGGAUCGGCUAACUACGUGCCAGCCGCCGCGGUAA
rnacentral:rRNA from 1 species